ACGUGAGUGGCGGAAUUGGUAUACGCAUCAGAUUUAGAAUCUGAGGAAUAUUAAUAUUCAUAUGGGUUCAAAUCCCUUUUCACGUA
rnacentral:tRNA from 1 species